rnacentral:rRNA from 1 species
ACUCAAAGGAAUUGACGGGGGCCCGCACAAGCGGUGGAGUAUGUGGUUUAAUUCGACGCUACGCGCAGAACCUUACCAACCUUUGACAUGUCCACUAUGGGCCUGAGAGAUCAGGUCCUUCACUUCGGGUGGGUGGAACACAGGUGCUGCAUGGCUGUCGUCAGCUCGUGUCGUGAGAUGUUGGGUUAAGUCCCGCAACGAGCGCAACCCUCAUCUUUAGUUGCCAUCAGGUUAUGCUGGGCACUCUAGAGAAACUGCCGGUGACAAGCCGGAGGAAGGCGGGGAUGACGUCAAGUCCUCAUGGCCCUUACAGGUUGGGCUACACACGUACUACAAUGACGGUGACAAUGGGAUGCUAUCUCGCAAGAGAAUGCCAACCUCAAAAAACCGUCUCAGUUCGGAUUGUCCUCUGCAACUCGAGGGCAUGAAGCUGGAAUCGCUAGUAAUCGCGUAACAGCAUGACGCGGUGAAUACGUUCCCGGGCCUUGCACACACCGCCCGU